rnacentral:rRNA from 1 species
AGGGCGCACGGUGGAUGCCUUGACACUAGGAGUCGAUGAAGGACGGGACUAACGCCGAUAUGCUUCGGGGAGCUGUAAGUAAGCUUUGAUCCGAAGAUUUCCGAAUGGGGAAACCCACCAUACGUAAUGGUAUGGUAUCCUUAUCUGAAUACAUAGGGUAAGGAAGACAGACCCAGGGAACUGAAACAUCUAAGUACCUGGAGGAAGAGAAAGCAAAUGCGAUUUCCUGAGUAGCGGCGAGCGAAACGGAACAUAGCCCAAACCAAGAGGCUUGCCUCUUGGGGUUGUAGGACAUUCUAUACGGAGUUACAAAGGAACGAGGUAGACGAAGCGACCUGGAAAGGUCCGUCGUAGAGGGUAACAACCCCGUAGUCGAAACUUCGUUCUCUCUUGAAUGUAUCCUGAGUACGGCGGAACACGUGAAAUUCCGUCGGAAUCUGGGAGGACCAUCUCCCAAGGCUAAAUACUCCCUAGUGAUCGAUAGUGAACCAGUACCGUGAGGGAAAGGUGAAAAGCACCCCGGAAGGGGAGUGAAAGAGAUCCUGAAACCGUGUGCCUACAAAUAGUCAGAGCCCGUUAACGGGUGAUGGCGUGCCUUUUGUAGAAUGAACCGGCGAGUUACGAUCCCGUGCGAGGUUAAGCUGAAGAGGCGGAGCCGCAGCGAAAGCGAGUCUGAAUAGGGCGUUUAGUACGUGGUCGUAGACCCGAAACCAGGUGAUCUACCCAUGUCCAGGGUGAAGUUCAGGUAACACUGAAUGGAGGCCCGAACCCACGCACGUUGAAAAGUGCGGGGAUGAGGUGUGGGUAGCGGAGAAAUUCCAAUCGAACCUGGAGAUAGCUGGUUCUCCCCGAAAUAGCUUUAGGGCUAGCCUUAAGUGUAAGAGUCUUGGAGGUAGAGCACUGAUUGGACUAGGGGUCCUCAUCGGAUUACCGAAUUCAGUCAAACUCCGAAUGCCAAUGACUUAUCCUUAGGAGUCAGACUGCGAGUGAUAAGAUCCGUAGUCAAAAGGGAAACAGCCCAGACCGCCAGCUAAGGUCCCAAAGUGUGUAUUAAGUGGAAAAGGAUGUGGAGUUGCUUAGACAACUAGGAUGUUGGCUUAGAAGCAGCCACCAUUUAAAGAGUGCGUAAUAGCUCACUAGUCGAGUGACUCUGCGCCGAAAAUGUACCGGGGCUAAAUACACCACCGAAGCUGCGGAUUGAUACCAAUGGUAUCAGUGGUAGGGGAGCGUUCUAAGGACAGUGAAGUCAGACCGGAAGGACUGGUGGAGUGCUUAGAAGUGAGAAUGCCGGUAUGAGUAGCGAAAGACGGGUGAGAAUCCCGUCCACCGAAUGCCUAAGGUUUCCUGAGGAAGGCUCGUCCGCUCAGGGUUAGUCAGGACCUAAGCCGAGGCCGACAGGCGUAGGCGAUGGACAACAGGUUGAUAUUCCUGUACCACCUCUUUAUCGUUUGAGCAAUGGAGGGACGCAGAAGGAUAGAAGAAGCGUGCGAUUGGUUGUGCACGUCCAAGCAGUUAGGCUGAUAAGUAGGCAAAUCCGCUUAUCGUAAAGGCUGAGCUGUGAUGGGGAAGCUCCUUAUGGAGCGAAGUCUUUGAUUCCCCGCUGCCAAGAAAAGCUUCUAGCGAGAUAAAAGGUGCCUGUACCGCAAACCGACACAGGUAGGCGAGGAGAGAAUCCUAAGGUGUGCGAGAGAACUCUGGUUAAGGAACUCGGCAAAAUGACCCCGUAACUUCGGGAGAAGGGGUGCUUUCUUAACGGAAAGCCGCAGUGAAUAGGCCCAAGCGACUGUUUAGCAAAAACACAGCUCUCUGCGAAGCCGUAAGGCGAAGUAUAGGGGGUGACACCUGCCCGGUGCUGGAAGGUUAAGGAGAGGGGUUAGCGUAAGCGAAGCUCUGAACUGAAGCCCCAGUAAACGGCGGCCGUAACUAUAACGGUCCUAAGGUAGCGAAAUUCCUUGUCGGGUAAGUUCCGACCCGCACGAAAGGUGUAACGAUUUGGGCACUGUCUCAACCAGAGACUCGGUGAAAUUAUAGUACCUGUGAAGAUGCAGGUUACCCGCGACAGGACGGAAAGACCCCGUGGAGCUUUACUGUAGCCUGAUAUUGAAUUUUGGUACAGUUUGUACAGGAUAGGCGGGAGCCAUUGAAACCGGAGCGCUAGCUUCGGUGGAGGCGCUGGUGGGAUACCGCCCUGACUGUAUUGAAAUUCUAACCUACGGGUCUUAUCGACCCGGGAGACAGUGUCAGGUGGGCAGUUUGACUGGGGCGGUCGCCUCCUAAAGUGUAACGGAGGCGCCCAAAGGUUCCCUCAGAAUGGUUGGAAAUCAUUCGUAGAGUGCAAAGGCAUAAGGGAGCUUGACUGCGAGACCUACAAGUCGAGCAGGGACGAAAGUCGGGCUUAGUGAUCCGGUGGUUCCGCAUGGAAGGGCCAUCGCUCAACGGAUAAAAGCUACCCCGGGGAUAACAGGCUUAUCUCCCCCAAGAGUCCACAUCGACGGGGAGGUUUGGCACCUCGAUGUCGGCUCAUCGCAUCCUGGGGCUGUAGUCGGUCCCAAGGGUUGGGCUGUUCGCCCAUUAAAGCGGUACGCGAGCUGGGUUCAGAACGUCGUGAGACAGUUCGGUCCCUAUCCGUCGUGGGCGUAGGAAAUUUGAGAGGAGCUGUCCUUAGUACGAGAGGACCGGGAUGGACGCACCGCUGGUGUACCAGUUGUUCUGCCAAGGGCAUAGCUGGGUAGCUAUGUGCGGAAGGGAUAAGUGCUGAAAGCAUCUAAGCAUGAAGCCCCCCUCAAGAUGAGAUUUCCCAUAGCGUAAGCUAGUAAGAUCCCUGAAAGAUGAUCAGGUUGAUAGGUUCGAGGUGGAAGCAUGGUGACAUGUGGAGCUGACGAAUACUAAUAGAUCGAGGACUUAACC